UACAGAGGGUGCAAGCGUUGUUCGGAAUCAUUGGGCGUAAAGCGCACGUAGGCGGACUGCUAAGUCGGAUGUGAAAGCCCAGGGCUCAACCCUGGAAGUGCAUUCGAAACUGGCGAUCUUGAGUGUCGGAGAGGGUGGUGGAAUUCCGAGUGUAGAGGUGAAAUUCGUAGAUAUUCGGAGGAACACCAGUGGCGAAGGCGACCACCUGGACGAACACUGACGCUGAGGUGCGAAAGCGUGGGGAGCAAACAGG
rnacentral:rRNA from 1 species